UACGGAGGGGGCUAGCGUUGUUCGGAAAUACUGGGCGUAAAGCGCACGUAGGCGGCGCAGCAAGUCAGGGGUGAAAUCCCGGGGCUCAACCCCGGAACUGCCUCUGAAACUGCAGUGCUAGAAUCUUGGAGAGGCGAGUGGAAUUCCGAGUGUAGAGGUGAAAUUCGUAGAUAUUCGGAAGAACACCAGUGGCGAAGGCGACUCGCUGGACACGUAUUGACGCUGAGGUGCGAAAGCGUGGGGAGCAAACAGG
rnacentral:rRNA from 1 species